GACGAACGCUGGCGGCGUGCUUAACACAUGCAAGUCGAACGGAAAGGCCCUGCUCUUGUGGGGUGCUCGAGUGGCGAACGGGUGAGUAACACGUGAGUAACCUGCCCUUGACUUUGGGAUAACUUCAGGAAACUGGGGCUAAUACCGGAUAGGAGCUCCUGCUGCAUGGUGGGGGUUGGAAAGUUUCGGCGGUUGGGGAUGGACUAGCGGCUUAUCAGCUUGUUGGUGGGGUAGUGGCUUACCAAGGCUUUGACGGGUAGGCGGCCUGGGAGGGUGACCGGCCACAUUGGGACUGAGAUACGGCCCAGACGCCUACGUGAGGCAGCAGUGGGGAAUAUUGCACAAUGGGCGGAAGCCUGAUGCAGCAACGCCGCGUGCGGGAUGACGUCCUUCGGGUUGUAAACCGCUUUCGCCUGUGACGAAGCGUGAGUGACGGUAAUGGGUAAAGAAGCACCGGCUAACUACGUG
rnacentral:rRNA from 1 species